GGCGCAUUCGUCUAAUGGCUAGGACACCAGGUUUUCAGUCUGGGGACAGGAGUUCGAUUCUCCUAUGCGCUA
rnacentral:tRNA from 1 species